rnacentral:rRNA from 1 species
AACGCUAGCUACAGGCUUAACACAUGCAAGUCGAGGGGCAGCAUGGUCUUAGCUUGCUAAGGCCGAUGGCGACCGGCGCACGGGUGAGUAACACGUAUCCAACCUGCCGUCUACUCUUGGACAGCCUUCUGAAAGGAAGAUUAAUACAAGAUGGCAUCAUGAGUCCACAUGUUCACAUGAUUAAAGGUAUUCCGGUAGACGAUGGGGAUGCGUUCCAUUAGAUAGUAGGCGGGGUAACGGCCCACCUAGUCUUCGAUGGAUAGGGGUUCUGAGAGGAAGGUCCCCCACAUUGGAACUGAGACACGGUCCAAACUCCUACGGGAGGCAGCAGUGAGGAAUAUUGGUCAAUGGGCGAGAGCCUGAACCAGCCAAGUAGCGUGAAGGAUGACUGCCCUAUGGGUUGUAAACUUCUUUUAUAAAGGAAUAAAGUCGGGUAUGGAUACCCGUUUGCAUGUACUUUACGAAUAAGGAUCGGCUAACUCCGUGCCAGCAGCCACGGUAAUACGGAGGAUCCGAGCGUUAUCCGGAUUUAUUGGGUUUAAAGGGAGCGUAGAUGGAUGUUUAAGUCAGUUGUGAAAGUUUGCGGCUCAACCGUAAAAUUGCAGUUGAUACUGGAUAUCUUGAGUGCAGUUGAGGCAGGCGGAAUUCGUGGUGUAGCGGUGAAAUGCUUAGAUAUCACGAAGAACUCCGAUUG